AGUGAACGCUGGCGGUAGGCCUAACACAUGCAAGUCGAGCGGCAGCACAGUAAGAGCUUGCUCUUACGGGUGGCGAGUGGCGGACGGGUGAGGAAUACAUCGGAAUCUACUUUUUCGUGGGGGAUAACGUAGGGAAACUUACGCUAAUACCGCAUACGACCUACGGGUGAAAGCAGGGGAUCUUCGGACCUUGCGCGAUUGAAUGAGCCGAUGUCGGAUUAGCUAGUUGGCGGGGUAAAGGCCCACCAAGGCGACGAUCCGUAGCUGGUCUGAGAGGAUGAUCAGCCACACUGGAACUGAGACACGGUCCAGACUCCUACGGGAGGCAGCAGUGGGGAAUAUUGGACAAUGGGCGCAGGCCUGAUCCAGCCAUACCGCGUGGGUGAAGAAGGCCUUCGGGUUGUAAAGCCCUUUUGUUGGGAAAGAAAAGCAGCAGGUUAAUACCCCGCUGUUCUGACGGUACCCAAAGAAUAAGCACCGGCUAACUUCGUG
rnacentral:rRNA from 1 species